GAGAGCUCAGUGGAGAGCGGGGAGUUGUGUCCACCUUGCCGACGUCGCUAGCCGUGGGGCUGUCCUGGGAAGGCGGACGGCGAGCGCCCGGUGUCCGCACUCGGCCGCCUGCCGUGCCCGUCUGCGCCCGUGUCAUCCUCACUCGGGACGCAGGGACCGUUUUUAAAUCACAGGGGCGUGUGUCAGCCUGCCCUAGGACUUCAUGUCUAUAUAUUUCCCCAUUCACUGCCCCGACUAUCUGAGAUCGGCCGAGAUGACUGAGGUGAUGAUGAACACCCAGCCCAUGGAGGAGAUCGGCCUCAGCCCCCGCAAGGAUGGCCUUUCCUACCAGAUGGAGUCUCGCUCUGUCGCCCAGACUGGAGUCCAGUGGCGUGAUCUCGGCUCACCGCAAGCUCCGCCUCCCGGGUUCACACCAUUUUCCUGCCUCAGCCUCCGGAGUAGCUGGGAAUACAGGCGCCCACCACCAUGCCCGGCUAAUUUUUUUUGUAUUUUUAG
rnacentral:sRNA from 1 species